GAUCAAGUGAAUAAGUGCAUGUGAUGGAUGCCUUGGCGAUUACAGGCGAUGAAGGACGUUGUAGCCUGCGAUAAGCUUCGGGGAGCUGGCAAACAAGCUUUGAUCGAGAAAUUUC
rnacentral:rRNA from 1 species